GAACCGAGCGAACGUUGUUCGGAAUCACUGGGCUUAAAGGGCGCGUAGGCGGGUUUGCAAGUCUGGGGUGAAAUCCCACAGCUCAACUGUGGAACUGCCUCGGAUACUGUGAGUCUCGAGGGUGGCAGGGGUAUGCGGAACUAUCGGUGGAGCGGUGAAAUGCGUUGAUAUCGAUAGGAACUCCGGUGGCGAAGGCGGCAUACUGGUCCACUUCUGACGCUGAGGCGCGAAAGCCAGGGGAGCAAACGGGAUUAGAUACCCCGGUAGUCCUGGCCCUAAACGAUGGGAACUAGCUAGUAGGCUUCACAUGGGUUUACUGGCGAAGCAAAAGUGCUAAGUUCCCCGCCUGGGGAGUAUGGUCGCAAGGCUG
rnacentral:rRNA from 1 species